rnacentral:rRNA from 1 species
UACGGAGGGUGCAAGCGUUAAUUGGAAUUACUGGGCGUAAAGCGUGCGUAGGCGGUUCGUUAAGCCAGAUGCGAAAGCCCCGGGCUUAACCUGGGAAUUGCAUUUGAUACUGGCGGACUUGAGUUGAGUAGAGGGGAGUGGAAUUUCAGGUGUAGCGGUGAAAUGCGUAGAGAUCUGAAGGAACACCAGUGGCGAAGGCGACUCCCUGGACUCAAACUGACGCUGAGGUACGAAAGCGUGGGUGGCAAACAGG